GUUAGCCUACGGGGGGCAGCAGUGAGGAAUAUUGGUCAAUGGCCGGAAGGCUGAACCAGCCAAGCCGCGUGAGGGAUGAAGGUACAGAGUAUCGUAAACCUCUUUUGUCAGGGAACAAAGGCGGGGACGCGUCCCCGGAUGAGUGUACCUGAAGAAAAGGCAUCGGCUAACUCCGUGCCAGCAGCCGCGGUAAUACGGAGGAUGCGAGCGUUAUCCGGAUUUAUUGGGUUUAAAGUGUGCGCAGGCGGUCUGUUAAGUCAGCGGUCAAAGCCCGGGGCUCAACCCCGGCCCGCCGUUGAAACGGG
rnacentral:rRNA from 1 species